rnacentral:rRNA from 1 species
UACGUAGGGGGCAAGCGUUGUCCGGAAUUAUUGGGCGUAAAGCGCGUGUAGGCGGUCCGGUAAGUCGGCUGUGAAAGUCCAGGGCUCAACCCUGGGAUGCCGGUCGAUACUGCCGGACUAGAGUUCGGAAGAGGCGAGUGGAAUUCCCGGUGUAGCGGUGAAAUGCGCAGAUAUCGGGAGGAACACCAAUGGCGAAGGCAGCUCGCUGGGACGUUACUGACGCUGAGACGCAAAAGCGUGGGGAGCAAACAGG